ACCCAGCUGACGAGUCCCAAAUAGGACGAAACGCGCAUCCUGGAU
rfam:Schistosoma rodhaini strain Burundi genome assembly, scaffold: SROB_scaffold0017575